UCCCAGGUGGCUCAGAGGUAAAGAACCUGCCUGCAAAGCAGGAGAUGCAGGUUUGACCCCUGCGUCGAGAA
rnacentral:tRNA from 1 species